CAAUGCAGGCAGAUUCUUCUGCCUUAAGUCCCGAAGUAGUUGGGAAUGCCUUUGUGGAGCAAUACUACAGUAUUCUUUGUCAAUCACCUGAUAAUGUUCACAGAUUUUAUCAGGAAUCAAAUAUGCUAAGCCGGCCAGAUCCUUCCGGUGCUAUGAGAAGACCAUCAAAGGCAUAAAUGACAAGAUUUUGUCUAUGGACUAUCAGAAUUUUAAGAGCCAAUUCAUGCUCCCAAUAACCAUGCUGUGAAUCACAAUUCACCAACCCCUGCAAAUGAGGACACUGAAAACGGCAAAGAAGUCAGUCAUCCAUUGGACAAUGGAAAAGUUUUGGUGGCUGAGAAAGUGGUUGUUCCAGAGCAUCCAAUCAUUUCAAGCCAGAAUGAUGCCCCUCCGGUCACAAAGACCCUUGCUUCUAAAACACAAGACGAAGUCCCCAAGAAAUCUUUUGCAUCAGUGGUACAUGAUUUGAAAAAGAGUAAUUCUCCAUUUGAUGUUGUUCUGAGGGUUCCACCUGUUAAACUUGUGGAACAAUCACGGGUCACUGCAGCAGCAGCUAUAGCAACUGCUCCUAAUAGCAACAAU